CAUCCCUCAAAACCCUAAAUUAUAAUCCUUUUUUUCCUCACACUGUAACCCUCUCAUCUCAACUUUCUUCUCAAUAUCUCUGCAAGUCGUCUCUACCUUCAAGUUUUUCUCUUCAUUAGGGCAAGUAGAGGAUUAGGUUUUAGAAUGGAAGGUGGUAAGGAAAAGCCAGAGCAGUUAUCAGCAGAGGGUGCCAGUUUCCUUGAACAAGGAAUUGGGUUGUUAUUCUCGAGAUGGAGUGCGCUUCAGAUGGCUGUUUCUGACAAUUGGGGAGGUGGUGAUUCUAUUAUGAAGUCACAGAAUUUAGCUGCAGAAGUUUUAUCAUGGUUUACCCAUUCGAAAGAAGCAGUACUGUACAUAGAUGAUUUGGAAGAUAUUCUGGAUGAGUCUAUGAUUUCAUUAUUCAAUACUGAGAUAGAAGACAACAGUAUUGAAGAGAUUGCUGAGAAACUGAUGGUGAUGCAUGAAGAAUGUUUGCAGGGAAAUUAUAAUUCAAUUCAAAUAUUGAAAGAUGAUGUUCCUAUUACAGUCAAUCUUCCUCAUAUUAGACAGGAAGCUGCUGGUGAUGAUGAAGAUGAAGAUGAAUCGGAAGCAAUGGUUGUAGAGAAUCCUGGGCCUCGGGCUAGAGUUGAUGAGCCUAAGGCUCCUGAAGUAGAUGAGGAAGGAUGGACAAUAGUUGGCUCUAGAAGGGGAGGCAAUGGGAGAAGGAACUAGCUAAGAGAAGAAGGAUCAAGUCACCAUUGUUGCCAAAGCUACUGGUGAAAGUUCUGAAAGUUCUCUGACUAUUGUUAAGACAGUGCAAAAUGUUUGGUAUAAACCUAAGAUGUCUUGCCCCCUAAUAGGAUUUGGAUUUUCAGGAAUUGUAGCUUUUUGGGCAUCCAUAAAUCUGGCUACGGUAAUAGUUCAUCCUUUUUGUUUUGUUUUGUUUUGUUUUGUUUUGUUUAGGUGACUGAUGUUUUUGGUUUUGUGUUGUUCUUUAAAAUUAUUUAGUUAAGCUAUUGACAAGCUUCCUCUUUUGCCAAGUGUGUU